rnacentral:rRNA from 1 species
GACGGGGGGGGCAAGUGUUCUUCGGAAUUACUGGGCGUAAAGGGUGCGUAGGCGGUUCGUUAAGUCUGUCGUGAAAUCCCCGGGCUCAACCUGGGAAUGGCGAUGGAUACUGGCGAGCUAGGGUGUGUCAGAGGAUGGUGGAAUUCCCGGUGUAGCGGUGAAAUGCGUAGAGAUCGGGAGGAACACCAGUGGCGAAGGCGGCCUUCUGGACCAGUACUGACGCUCAUGCACGAAAGCGUGGGGAGCAAACAGG